UGCAGGUCUUAGGUGAUGCACCCGGCAUCGGGCUCCCUCCUCUCUGGUUCCGAGUGCAUAACCCGAGAACCUCA
rfam:Myotis davidii contig324408, whole genome shotgun sequence.